rnacentral:snRNA from 1 species
ACAUGAGAACAGUCUGGCUGGGACACAUGUCCCCUCACUGACUGCCAGAGUUGAUUUGGCUGAUCCAGCUGGCUAGGCAGAUGUCCCCCUCCUUACCACGCCAUGUACGUGUCCUCUCAGAGCUUCCUCCAGGGAGGAGGCUCGUUCUUUGGUCAGAGGAGUAUGAGUUACUGUAGCUGUGCUUCCCUGCUGGGACCUCCAGUCACUCUCUCCUGGGCCUGUCUUUCUCUGACAUGCCAUGGAGUGCCACAGCUUAGAUAUUUCGGGGGACCCUGUUGCUCUUGGCACUGUGUCCUCACUG